UCACGCGGCGGGGGCUCUCGUGUGAGGACGGGAGCAGAGCCAAAUGCACCAGCUGUCAGCCAGACUGAAGGUGAAGGGAGCCAACAGGCUCAUGUCUGAAUACAAGGUCUUCAGCCCACCCCUGGAGGCAGUAUGUCAGGAUUCUUCCGAACAGAGAAUCUGGGGUCUGUUCUAAAGGGGCCUAGAGCAUGGCCAUGGUCACUGUAUCUUCAGAAAUGUUUAAAGUUUUGUCUUUCUUGGUCAUUGGAAGAGGCAAAAAAGGAAAAAAAAAAAAAGCAGGAAUGAGGGAAGACUCAAUUUUGCACAUUCUCUCUGUGUUCCCCUGAGGAUAAAUUGGAAACGAAAUAGGAAUACAGGACUUUUAGGUAUGAGCCAGUUCAGUGUGUUAAGACACUUGCUUUCUAACCCUUUGCUUUUUGGCAGUAAUCGGAUUGCUGGACGACUUGUCUUUUAAGACCUCUCUAAGUACUGAUGAUAAAAACAGCCCUUCAACAGGGAAAAUAACCUUCCAUUCUAUUUUCUACCGAGCAGAGAGGAAAGAACAUCAGCUGAGCCAGGAGGGUUAUCAAGUUGCAGGAUGACCCUGUUUAUCUUGUGAGACUCAGUUUGCUUUAAAUGUUUUCAGAGAUCAUAUGGUUGCUUUUGUAUAUACUUUUGUUUGUAUAACUUGGAAUCAUUUUUCUGCUAAUCUUUUGAUUUUAAAUAUGUCUCUGGUAUGUAGUACAAGGUUUGAGGGUUUUUUUUUUGUAGUUUGAAACAUAGCAUUUUUAAAGAUAAUUUUGUUCAUUUACAUUUAUUGUUAUGUUUUACUAGAUCUGCUGUCUGUUUUGCUUGUUUUUGUUUCAUUAUAAUUUGAUUUCCUAAGUACUUGUGGUUUUAGGUUGACCUGUGCCUAGCUCCAUGUAUCUUUCAUUUGAGAUUUCUUAGACCUUAUCAAACUUAUUUUUCUUUUUUUGAGAUGGAAUCUCGCUCUGUUGCCAGGCUGGAGUGCAGUGGCGCCAUCUUGGCUCACUGCCAUUUCUGCCUCCCAGGUUCAAGCCAUUCUCCUGCCUUAGCCUCCUGAGUAGCUGGGAUUACAGGCUCGCGCCACUACACCCAGCUGAUUUUUAUAUUUUUAGUAGAUUAGGGUUUUCACCGUGUUGGCCAGGCUGGUCUCGAUCUCCUGACCUCAUGAUCUGCUCUCCUCAGCCUCCCAAAGUGCUGGGAUUACAGGCAUGAGCCACCAUCCAUGGCUCUCAAACUUAUUUUUCUUAAUCUAAAUCUUCUAAUAGCUAACCGACUGGAACUUCAAGUGUUCUUAUUUCUGUAGAUUGCCAUAUAUAGCUAUCACAAAGCAGAGGAACUUUGGACUUUUCUUCUAUAAGCAUCUUAAGCUGUUGGCUUCCUCCUUCUGAAAGCUCUCUGCCCCUCCCUCAUGCCGUGGGGCUCAGGGUUGAGAAAUACAUUAAUUCUCAAUUCUCCUUUCUGGCUCUUACAUCCAACUUGUGUUCUUUCAUUGCACGGAUCACAUACACUUAGUAACACACUGUAGUGGGGUGGGAACAGAAAGGAUCUCAAGGGUGUUCUGUCAUUCUGGGCAAAUCUCUCCAAGCCCAGCCCAUGAGUCUUAUCUUCAAAAAGUAAAAUAAAAUAAAGUUAAUAUACUGAGGGCUGAACGAGAACAUGAGUGAGGCUGUUCCUGGCACACAUCAGCUGCUUGAUAAAAAUUAACCUCCCGUUCUCCACUUUGUUAGUGUUCUCAGUGGCUUUGCGCGCCAAAUGCAUUGUCUUUUUAUUGUAAAGCUUGACUUCGGGAUGCUCCUGGGCUCAUCAUUCUUGGCAAUAUGGCGACUUUUUUGUUUUUUAUUUUUUAAUUGUGGUGGAAUUCAUUUAACAUAAAAUGAACCUUUUUAUGUUUAUUUAUUUAUUUUGAGACAGAUCUCACCCUGUCGCCCAGGCUGGAGUGCAGUGGCGCGAUCUUGGCUCACUGCAACGUCCGCCUCCCGGGUUCAAGCGAUUCUCCUGCCUCAGCCUCCCCAGUAGCUGGGAUUGCAGGCGCCCGCCACCACGCCCGGCUGAUUUUUGUAGUUUUAGUAGAGAUGGGGUUCCGCCAUGUUGGCCAGGCUGGUCUCGAACUCCUGACCUCAGGUGAUCUGCCUGCCUCGGCCUCCAAAGUGCUGGGAUGACGGGCGUGAGCCACCGCACCUGGCCUGAACCAUUUUAAAGUGUACAAUUCAGUGGCUUUCAGAACAUUCACAGUGUUGUGCAAGCCCUACCUCUGUCUGGUUCCAAAACUUUUUCAUCACCCCAAAAGGAGAUGGUGGCUCUUUCAAGACGCCAGCUUUGGCAUCAACUGGACCUUCUGGUUGUCUGACUUCGGACAAGCAUUGUAAUUUCCAGCCUUUGUUUCCUCACCUUUAAAAUGGAAAUAAUGUUGAUCACCUUACGGGCCUUUUUAAAAAGAACUUGAUUGAGGUAUGAUGUAUGUACCUCAAAAUCAAGUCAUCCUAAGUGUACUUUUUCAGUACUUUUUCGUGAAUUUGUGGAGUUGUGCACCCAUUACCACAAUCCCAAUUUUAGAACGUCUCUAUCAUUUCCUGUUCCCAUCUCCAGCUCUGUGUAACCACGAGUCUGCUUUCUGUCUGUAUGGGUUUGCCUUUUUUAGACAUUUAUACCAAUGGCAGCUGACAGUACAUGGUCUUCAUGCCUGGCUUCUUUCACUCAGCAUCCUGUUUCCGAGGUUCAUCCAUGUAGUUGCGUGUGGCAGCGCUUCAUUCCUCUCUGUGGCUGAGGAAUAUUCCAUUGUGUGGACGGACCGUGUUUUGAUAAUCCACUCCUCUGUUGAUGGACAUAGGGGUUGCUUCCACCUUCCAUGAUUCAUAUUUACUACUGUGUGUCAUUCUCAGUACUGUGGCACUGUGCUGGUACACAUAAGUGCUUAAUAAUUGUG
rnacentral:lncRNA from 10 species